rnacentral:rRNA from 1 species
AGCGAACGCUGGCGGCAGGCCUAACACAUGCAAGUCGAACGAAGUCUUCGGACUUAGUGGCGGACGGGUGAGUAACACGUGGGAACGUGCCCUUUGGUACGGAAUAACUCAGGGAAACUUGAGCUAAUACCGUAUGUGCCCUUCGGGGGAAAGAUUUAUCGCCAUUGGAGCGGCCCGCGUCUGAUUAGCUAGUUGGUGAGGUAAAGGCUCACCAAGGCGACGAUCAGUAGCUGGUCUGAGAGGAUGAUCAGCCACAUUGGGACUGAGACACGGCCCAAACUCCUACGGGAGGCAGCAGUGGGGAAUCUUGCGCAAUGGGCGAAAGCCUGACGCAGCUAUGCCGCGUGGAUGAUGAAGGUCUUAGGAUUGUAAAAUCCUUUCACCGGUGAAGAUAAUGACUGUAGCCGGAGAAGAAGCCCCGGCUAACUUCGUGCCAGCAGCCGCCGUAAGAC